AUUGAACGCUGGCGGCAGGCUUAACACAUGCAAGUCGAACGAGUGGCGGACGGGUGAGUAAUGCUUGCGAAUCUAGCUUAUGGAGGGUGAUAACUACGGGAAACUGUAGCUAAUACCGCAUACCAUAGGAUGAGCCCAAGUGGGAUUAGCUAGUUGGUGAGGUAAAGGCUCACCAAGCCGACGAUCUCUAGCUGGUCUGAGAGGAUGACCAGCCACAGUGGGACUGAGACACGGCCCAGACUCCUACGGUGGGAAGAAGUGGGGAAGAUUGCGCAAUGGGGGCAACCUGACGCAGCCAUGCGGCGUGAAUGAAGAAGGCCUUCGGGUUGUAAAGUUCUUUCGGUAGCGAGGCGUUAACUACAGAAGAAGCACCGGCUAACUCCGUGCCAACAGCCGCGGUAAUUC
rnacentral:rRNA from 1 species